rnacentral:lncRNA from 1 species
UGUUUUCUUGUUUCCUUCCUGUAGUUAACCUUGUGAGUUCAGAGGCAGGAUUGUUACCCUUUCAUCUGAAGGUGAUUUAUAUAAUGUAAAGGAAGUAAACUGCAGAUAUAUUUUCUCUUGCAAUAGUAUUGCUAUAGUCCCAGCAGUGUAUCUCACUGUUGCUUCUUGUUUUGUUUUUUUUGUUUAGGGUUUUUUUUUACUUUGCUUUGUUUUUUACAUCAGAUACUUUUCUUUCUGAUGUAGAGAGAUCAUUAUUAGUAGGGCAGAUCAGAAGGUUUAUUCAUCUUCAUGUAGUGCUAAGAUUAGCUUGUUGGACUUUUGAAAUGCCCGCCUAGACAAUGUAUCAUUGUACUAUAAAAGUAAUAUUUUUCAGACAGUCUUUAGUUUCUAUCUAAUGUAAAUGUUGCCACAGUUCUUUAAUAUUUAUAAUUAGUAUACCAUGGCGGCUGGAUCCAAACUAGUCAAAUGUGAAUGAGUUAUCUUUUUGUUGUUGUUAGUGGUCAGAGAGUUAAAAGGGUUGUGAGCGAGGAAAGUAAUCAGGCAUGCCUGUCUCCAAAGUUUUUUAAAAAAAUAAUUUUAAAAAGGCAUUUCUGCAUUUAAGAGAUUGUGAGAAAAAUUGGAAUGAGAGUGGGAAUGACCGUGAGGUUCCCCAGGCCCAUUCCAUUUCCAUCUUUGGAUAGCCACUGAAUUCCUUUUUGCAAGCCUUCUAGUUCCAGCAGCUGGAAGCUCUCACCUGCCAUUGCUCUGUGCUAUCAGUAACCAAAGAUGACAGAAUAGUAGUAUCAGGAUCUGGAUGAGUUGGGCAGUAAAAGGACCAUUAUUGAGCCACAGAAGAAGCAUAUUCCAUGACCUCUUCCUUCGCUACAAGACGGAACACUUGUCUCUCCAGAUGUUGGUGCACUUUAAUUCUGCUGGCCUCACUACUGGUUAAGCUGACAGAUAGGAAAUAGUUUAAUUGUAUCUGGAGGGCCACAUGUUUUCUACCCUGCUUUGGUAGUUCUUAACCCAAUCAUCCAGGCUUCCCAUAUACCAGACUGCAAGACAAUAUAAAUUGUCAAAACAAAGUUCUUUUUGUUGUGGUGAUAUAUAUGCUGGAGAAAACAGAGAAGCUGCAAUAACCACAAAAACCUCAGACUAGUAUCUGGUUUUCUGUUCUUGUUUCUGUUGUAUAUGAAAAGAAAAAAAUAUGAUAUUCCUCCCAGCAUGGCUUUGUUCCUGUUUCUCCUUUUGUUGAGAUUUAAAAAAAAACUAAUAUUACUGUAUCGAAUACUGUUUCCAUGUAUAUGAAGCCACAUGAAGAGGGUUUUUUUAAAACAGACAUUUACCAAAUAAAUAAGCAUGUUUUGACUAUUUCCUAAACA